GCUAGUAAAAUGACGAGCUUUUACACAAGGUGCCCCCAAGAUCUCCCGAAGAUAUCUAUAACUGACGUUCAUCGACUGGUCCAAACUCGGAGCUCUGCCCCUAAGAGUAAACGCGAGAAAGGAUACAAAAUGUACAUUUCAUCCUAUAUCGACAACUACGAAGAUUACAUUUGAAAACAGCACACCUGUUACCAUAGCUGUGGCCGAGUGCAGUUGUGUUGCUGGGAAAGCACUCUGCAAUCACAACGUUGCUCUUCUUUUCCAAACGGCACAUUACUCCACACUAAAUCUGAAGGCAGUGCCGCCUGUGCUGAGCUGCACAGAAACUGCACAGCGCUGGCACAAACCAAGAACUAUGGGUGUAAAACCAGGCAGAGUUGGUGAGAUGACGGUACUUUCUACCAGUUGCUGAUGGUGUGAGGAGUAAGCGAUACAAAGCAGUUCGUGGGGACCUGCCGGACCCAGAUGUCUUAGAAGUGGCUGAGGCAUACAAGGAUUUUGCUGCAGACAUCGCGCCACUGAUCACCACCAUGGAUAUAAAUAAGGAUGUUCCGCUGGUGGAUUCUGUGUUUGGCCCUGUACAGUAUGGUAGCCCCAUCUCUUACCAGCACCCUGUGCCCAGUAGCCAAGUUCUUGUUCGCCACCCAGAUGCCCCCUCUCCACCACCUCUGCCCUUAGAUGGCUGGAGCCAUCUACCUGUCACUUUGUGUGUAGUCAUCAGCAGCAUCUCCAGUUCAUGUCACUUGCUGUAACCUUGGAAAUGGCGAGGAAAAUAGAGGUGGCCACAAGAGACCAAAGUGACAGCGUAGAGUGGCAUAAAGUCAGGAAGAUAAGGCUCACUUCCUCUAGAUUCCGGGAGGUGUGUUAUGUGAAAGGGCACAGUUCUGCUGAAAACCUAGCACGAAGAAUUAGGAAAGGUGUGGCUCAGACAGCAUUAAUGAAAAGGGGAUUAGCAUUGGAGCCCGUUGCCCUCCAAGAGUACAGCAGGAUAAAAAAUGUGAGCUACUGGCCAUGUGGCUUUGUAGUACAUCCAGAUGCUCCAUGGCUAGGAACCUCUCCUGAUGGUGUUGUCUUUGAUUCAGCUGAGAGUCCACCAUUUGGACUGGUUGAAAUCAAGUGCCCCAAUGCCAAAAGCUAUGUUGACUGCAGCUACCUGCAAAUGCAGAAUGGCACAUUAAAACUGAAGCAGAGCAACAGUUACUACUGGCAGAUCCAAGGUCAGCUGUUACUCACUGGGAUGGAGUGGUGUGAUUUGGUAGUUUUUGCAGAGGAGGACAUUCUUGUACAGCGUAUCCAUAGGGAUGCUGAGGUGGCAAAGGUUAUAAGGGAGAAGGGAGACUAUUUCUUUUUUUACUUUUUCUUGGGUUAAUCCUCUUUAAAAUGGCUCAUUUGGUUAGCUCAGGGUCAAUCAGAAAACAUGAACUGAAUCUAAACUUAAACUUAGUUAGUAAUGGCACGUAAACCAGCAUUGAUGUUUUAUUGUUCUGUUUCACAGUUCUUUGAAAAGAAAUGAAAUCUUUUGGCUGUGUUUUUUUUUUAAUCAAUCACAUUAGUGAAUUCAUCCAGAUGUACAUAGUUACACUGCAACUCUAUAAAAUGUCCAGUGGGUUUUAUGUGCACUGUUUGAUCAU